rnacentral:rRNA from 1 species
UACGUAGGGUGCGAGCGUUAAUCGGAAUUCUGGGCGUAAAGUGUGCGCAGGCGGCCGCGCCAAGUCGAGUGUGAAAGCCCCGAGCCUUAACUUGGGAAUUGGCGCUCGAAAACUACGUGGCUGGAGUGUGGCAGAGGAAGGUGGAAUUCCACGUGUAGCGGUGAAAUGCGUAGAGAUGUGGAGGAACACCAAUGGCGAAGGCAGCCUUCUGGGCCAACAUUGACGCUCAUGCACGAAAGCGUGGGGAGCAAACAGG